CACGGGUGAAAACACUUACAAAGAUGAUAACUUCCCGUACAGGUAGAACUCGAUUGUGUAGGCAAUGUUUUUUUUUAAUUUUCCCAUGAAAAGGUUGGGUAAGAUCCGUUUAAAUGUGAUGGACAAGAAGAAAUGGAGAGCGAUCCACAAAGCAUUCGUACCUUGACUGGCUGGCGACGAGCAGCCAUGGCCCUAGUUAUAUGGAGACGUAUGUUUGGUACAGCAAAGGGCACCCCAGAACUAUAGCUGCUAGGCAAGGUAUGUAAAUUGAGAAAAUGGAAUCGAGCCAAGAACAGAAACGCGCUGAACUUUCUUUCAUGUAUCACGAAAAUACGAACUACUCGCACAACAUGUUGGAAAAUUGUUGAAUGUGACCGAAUCAACUGAUACAGACAACGAUUUGAUUUGGAUAUGCGACAAUUUUUUUACGGAAAUUUUCGGUAGUCAUCAGAAUAACCGAUUUCUCAGGAAAUAUUUUUUCAAACCAAAAGGUAAAGUUGAAUAAUCGCUGAUUACGGUAAAAUACACUUCCAAUCGCCCGAUUUCGGUGAACUCGAUACACACGGAACCUCUCACGAUCGCGAAACAACCAAAAUAUUUGUUGAUUAUCUGAAUUUGAUUGGUUGAAAUUUGGUAAAACUAAUCGAUUGUUGUGUUUUCUAAACUGUCAUUUUUGUUUUUCGAUCAACAGAAACGAUGGUUGAAACAACAAAUUUUUUGGUUGAAAAAAAGACCUAUCAAUUUCAAUAAACAUAAUAAUAAUAAGUUACAACA